AUUGAACGCUGGCGGCAUGCUUUACACAUGCAAGUCGAACGGCAGCGCGGGCUUCGGCCUGGCGGCGAGUGGCGAACGGGUGAGUAAUGCAUCGGAACGUGCCCAGUAGUGGGGGAUAGCCCGGCGAAAGUCGGAUUAAUACCGCAUACGACCUGAGGGUGAAAGCGGGGGACCGAAAGGCCUCGCGCUAUUGGAGCGGCCGAUGUCGGAUUAGCUAGUUGGUGGGGUAAAGGCUUACCAAGGCGACGAUCCGUAGCUGGUCUGAGAGGACGACCAGCCACACUGGGACUGAGACACGGCCCAGACUCCUACGGGAGGCAGCAGUGGGGAAUUUUGGACAAUGGGGGCAACCCUGAUCCAGCCAUGCCGCGUGCGGGAAGAAGGCCUUCGGGUUGUAAACCGCUUUUGUUCGGGAAGAAAUCCUCUGGGCUAAUACCCCGGGGGGAUGACGGUACCGGAAGAAUAAGCACCGGCUAACUACGUG
rnacentral:rRNA from 1 species